CUGGUCCAAAUCAUCAUCAAAAACUUCCAGGGCUGUCCUUGUGUUGCCGUCCGGCCACAAGUGAGGAUCGCCAUUAGUUUCAGUGGUCCCUACAUGGAGGAAGGCCGGGUCGUGUACAGUCGGUCGCAGUAAAGGAGGAAUAGGAUUCUUGCUAUCUCCUUCCAAGUAAUGACGGGUUUUCCGUCAAGACUAGAUGUAGGGUGACAGCUCACCCCUGAGAAAUUGAGAAGUAUGGUAUUGUAGUAGUAAACCCCAGUCUUAUAGAUAGAAGCUUAGUUAGUGGGUAAUCGAACAUCUUCACUUUUUGUAUUAGACCUUGGGAUGUUAAACUAGUCUAUAAGUAAUGUGAUGUUGUAGGUGUGGCUUGUGAAAAAUAAUAUCCUACGUUUUUAUCCCA